rnacentral:rRNA from 1 species
AUUGAACGCUGGCGGCAGGCUUAACACAUGCAAGUCGAACGGACUACUUCGGUAGUUAGUGGCGAACGGGUGAGUAAUGCCCAGGAAUCUGCCGUUUAAUGGGGGAUAACUGACCGAAAGGUCUGCUAAUACCGCAUACGCCCUACGGGGGACAGCAGGGGAUCUUCGGACCUUGCGUUAAACGAAGAGCCUGGGUCGGAUUAGCUACUUGGUGAGGUAAAGGCUCACCAAGGCGACGAUCUGUAGCGGGUCUGAGAGGGUGAUCCGCCACACUGGGACUGAGACACGGCCCAGACUCCUACGGGAGGCAGCAGUGGGGAAUUUUGGACAAUGGGUGCAACCCUGAUCCAGCCAUGCCGCGUGAGUGAAGAAGGCCUUCGGGUUGUAAAGCUCUUUCGGCCGGGAAGAAAUCGCAUGGGUUAAUACCCUGUGUGGAUGACGGUACCGGAAUAAGAAGCACCGGCUAACUACGUGCCAGCAGCCGCAGUAA